UGCAUGGGAUUUUCUUUCAGAUCCCUUACCUGAAAAGGGGACACAUUGAGGAUUGUGGUCACUGGACACAGAUAGAGAAACCUGCUGAGGUGAACCAGAUUCUUAUCAAGUGGCUGGAGACUGAAGUCAAGAACUCGUCAUUGACCUCCAAGAUUUAGCCAGUAGCGUGUCCUCUAUUUCCGGACAUGGCCUUAUCCAGAACUAGCAGCAUUGUUCUUUGGUCAGCCAGUGAUUUUCUUGGGAAAGUGAUCAGAUGUGAUGUAAUUUUAGAUCCAGGAUGAAGUGUGUGUGAUUAAUUCUCUGAAGAUGACUGCACCAUCAAAGGAAAGAUCACAGCCCGUCAGGAAGACAUGGGGCAGCCCAAUUGGUAGCUUUGCAGCCAAAUCCAUACCUGUUCUUUUUGAAGCAGCUGAUUUGGGGUCUUCAUUCAAUAAAGCUAACACCUUG